ACUUUUAAUCUUAAUUGAAUUUCUAAUCCCGGCUAAUAAAUCAUUUUCAAAAAAAAAUUCUGUUUGUAAUUUUUAAAAUUAUUUUCAAUUCCAUUGGCUAUACCUUGCUGUGUUAAAUUUCAGUGAUUCUACUUUUCCUCUGAUGACAGCGUUCAUCCACUUCUCCUCGCGUAUACACAGAGCCAAAAAAAGUUGGGAUUCCAACAUUUUCUAAUUUCAUUUUAACAAUGUUGGUAAUCUGGUAUUUUUAACAGCUAAAACUUUUCAGUCAAAUAUAAAAUUGAUUUAAUUGAAAGUUUUUUUUUUCAGUUUCAAACUUUGAGUUUUACAGUGAAAACUUUCAGAACAAAAAUUGUAAAAUAGUUGAAUAAACUUAUACAAUUCACAUUUUUGGCAACACUGACAGAUAAAAAUAUGAUUUCUGGCAGCCCACGAUAGUCAGUGACAGUUGCCGAAAAAGAUCCGCAAAACAACAACAACCUUCCGCGCGUUUUUCCUCCGUUUUGUCAGGUUUUGUCCAGCUUUAAAUAACAUUUAAUUCCAAUGGAAGCCAUGAAGGAGGACAUUUAAAUAUUGCAUAUUUGUGAGAAGGUUACUCGGUUACUGAAUAAAAACGUUUAAAAUGCAGCAGGACCAAGAGCAGAACAAGAUCCAGCGGCAUUUUCACGAUCGGUCAUAAACUCGAGUUUCAUCACAACAUUUACUCGGCGCUGGAACCGGAUGAACCUGCUGGUGAAGAUCAUACCACAACCGAACCGAGAAGUAAAUACUGUACUGAAAGAUGUUCGGUUGAAGAUUUUCCUGGAUGAACUGCGGAAGAUACGGGAGGAAUCCGAUGGCUGUAUUUCUCGCAAGGGCGCACCGACUUCCGAAAUUUGAAAUACUGCAGUGCAACUUGAGGACCAUUUUCUGUACAACCUGGAUUGAAAAGUUGUCAUAUUUAACAAGUGUCGCUAUUCGGUGGCCGUGGUUCAUCGGGUGCUGCUGCAGAACCGACAGCUGUUGAAGCCUACCUUUUGGACUUCCUUCAUUGGUCUGAGGUGGCACCAAAGGAGGACUGUUUCAUCACGCAGAAAGAACGCCGCCAUGAAGACCUUCCGUAGAGAUUCUUGCAUCCCCCGAACGCCACAUCGGCGUGGGCGAAGUGGAUGUUUUUGUCUAUUUCGGAAUUCCGCAAGAUAUGUGUAUCGAAUCGAAUGGCAGUGGAUUGGAAAGGUGCUGAUGUUGGUCACCAAGGGCUAAGACGCUUCGAGAUGCUUCAAAUGCUUCAUGAACUAAAUUGGCGUCCAAUCAACGAUGCUCCGGCUUGUUCUAGCACAUCGAAGCCACCACGAAAAAAGGCUGAUAUAUUAUACCGGCUUUUUAGUAGCUGAUCGAGACGAUAGAAAAGUGGCAUUUACGUUUUUUCAAAUAAUGAAACCUGAAAAAAAUAUGAAAAUAAAGUAAAAUAGUAAAUAAAAUGAAAAAAUAAUUUAUUUCAAAUGUUUAGGAUUUGAUUUGGGAAAACAGAAAAUGAAAAGGCACAUAUUAAAUUGAAAAUAACACAACUUGUUGUUUUGACAAUAUCACUAGUUGAUUGUAAAGUUAAAUUCACAAUUCAUGCUGAGAGGAAAAUGUUAUUUUGAAUAGAUUUGCAUUUUUCAAGGUUCUUGCUAAAGUGACAGUUUUCCUGUGGUAGAUUUAACAAUGCUAUACUUUCUACUGAAAAUCACUAACUAAUUUUCUUAGGUUUACCAACGUUUCUUUUAUUUUUACCA